rnacentral:rRNA from 1 species
AGUGAACGCUGGCGGUAGGCCUAACACAUGCAAGUCGAACGGCAGCACAGUAAGAGCUUGCUCUUACGGGUGGCGAGUGGCGGACGGGUGAGGAAUACAUCGGAAUCUACUUUUUCGUGGGGGAUAACGUAGGGAAACUUACGCUAAUACCGCAUACGACCUACGGGUGAAAGCAGGGGAUCUUCGGACCUUGCGCGAUUGAAUGAGCCGAUGUCGGAUUAGCUAGUUGGCGGGGUAAAGGCCCACCAAGGCGACGAUCCGUAGCUGGUCUGAGAGGAUGAUCAGCCACACUGGAGCUGAAACACGGUCCAGACUCCUACGGGAGGCAGCAGUGGGGAAUAUUGGACAAUGGGCACAAGCCUGAUCCAGCCAUACCGCGUGGGUGAAGAAGGCCUUCGGGUUGUAAAGCCCUUUUGUUGGGAAAGAAAAGCAGCAGGUUAAUACCCCGCUGUUCUGACGGUACCCAAAGAAUAAGCACCGGCUAACUUCGUG